rnacentral:rRNA from 1 species
AGAGUUUGAUCCUGGCUCAGGACGAACGCUGGCGGCGUGCCUAAUACAUGCAAGUCGAGCGAAUCUUUGGGAGCUUGCUCCUAAAGAUUAGCGGCGGACGGGUGAGUAACACGUGGGCAACCUGCCUAUAAGACUGGGAUAACUUCGGGAAACCGGAGCUAAUACCGGAUAAUUCUUUCCCUCUCAUGAGGGAAAGCUGAAAGACGGUUUACGCUGUCACUUAUAGAUGGGCCCGCGGCGCAUUAGCUAGUUGGUGAGGUAACGGCUCACCAAGGCAACGAUGCGUAGCCGACCUGAGAGGGUGAUCGGCCACACUGGGACUGAGACACGGCCCAGACUCCUACGGGAGGCAGCAGUAGGGAAUCUUCCGCAAUGGACGAAAGUCUGACGGAGCAACGCCGCGUGAGUGAUGAAGGUUUUCGGAUCGUAAAACUCUGUUGUUAGGGAAGAACAAGUACCAGUUAACUGCUGGUACCUUGACGGUACCUAACCAGAAAGCCACGGCUAACUACGUGCCAGCAGCCGCGGUA